rnacentral:rRNA from 1 species
GUAGGAGGCGAGCGUUAUCCGGAUUUACUGGGUGUAAAGCGCGAGCAGGCGGCUCGGUAAGUGGUGUGUGAAAGCGCUCAGGCUCAACCGGGCGAGGACAUGCCAGACUGCGGAGCUGGAGGCAGGUAGAGGCGAGUGGAAUUCCGGGUGUAGUGGUGAAAUGCGUAGAGAUCCGGAGGAACACCAGUGGCGAAGGCGACUCGCUGGGCCUGACCUGACGCUCAGACGCGAAAGCAUGGGGAGCGAACGGGAUUAGAAACCCCGGUAGUCCAUGCUGUAAACGAUGUGGACUAGGUGUGGCGCUCUCGAAGCGCUGUGCCGCAGCCAACGUGAUAAGUCCACCACCUGGGGACUACGGCCGCAAGGUUAAA